ensembl:lincRNA 1700001L05Rik RIKEN cDNA 1700001L05 gene
ACGGCAGUUGGUCUCUGAGGCGGCGGCGGUAACAGUUAAUCUCAGGAGGUCCUGCUCGGUCCGGGCGCCAUGCCUCUGGAUCGUCAGGUGGCCAUGGGGAACCUUGGCAAUCAGGACAUACUGGCCAUCUUCUACCGCCUGCGCUUCGUGCUUAGCAACCACAUAGAGGCCGCCUGGCGAGCCCGGAACCCGGCAAUGGACGUGGGAGGAGGAGGAGAAGGCGCCCGGUUGGUCAACGGUCGUAUUCGCCCACGCGGGUUCUGAGUGACUUGGAGCACUGCUCGCCCUCGCCCCAGAAUGCCUGGCAUAGGAUAUGACUGUCAAUAUUUAGCUCAACAAGAAGACAUGGCAUUUACACACAAAAGGAAGACAUGAUUCAUUGGUUUUAAGUAAAUACAACAUAAUGCAUCCUAAAAGUGCCUGGACUCUAGGGCUGACUGAUGGAGGACCCACCAUGACCCAUUAAUCCCCUAAUAAUUAACACAUGGAAUGGGGUACCAGUGAUGAAAAAUGACCACAAUUAACUCCCUUUCAAGACUCAUUCCCAGAUAUCUGAUCCGACCAAAACUGGGAUCUCUGGGUCCUUAAUUAACAGUGAAACAUCCUCUCAUUCUCUUGGUUCUGCUUCUGUUGAGAGGCCCUGCUUAAAUCACUUUCUUCAGCUCGUUGAAAGCAGCAGGACAAAAAAGCACUGCUACUACCACAAAGGAAGCUGGGCCACUUACCUUUGAAGAUGGCUUGCACACCUCAUCUUUAAGUCUUUCCCUAAGAAUGGAUGGUUUCAAAUGUGGGAGCAAGAGUUUUCAGAGCCUACGUUCGCCAUGUUCAGGUCCAGUCCCUGUGCUUCUCCAUGGCCCAUCAUUCUCCCUGUGUCUGCUCUGCCUCUCACUGGAUAGAUGUAGGUGAGAGAUGUGCACCCCAGUACUCACUGUUUUGGGUCCCAAGUAUACAUCUACAUUGAUGGCAAAGCUAUGAGCGUAGCUGCCCCUUCCUCAUUCACCACAUGCCUGUGUUCAUUUUGUCAUUGGUGAGCACUGUGCUGUGCAACCUUCUAGCCUAGAUCUGGCCCCAGCAUCCUGAAGCAUAUGAGGCACCUUAGAGAAAAGGUCUAAAUGGGCCUUAUAAGAAAAUGAGAAUACUUUCUGUUGCAUUGUGUUUUGAGUCUUAAGUUACAGGCACAAAGCUGCAUGAAUUAAACAUUCCUAAAGUCUGUCUACUCAGCCUCUUACACUAGUCUGUCCACAGGAAAGGCAUUGAAAUAAAAGGAAAGAUGAAGAGCAAUACAGUCCA